UUUUUUUUAAGGGCGGGCUAUCGAAGCGAGUCCCUAUUGGGUGCGGGUAUUUUUUUUCCCCGGCAUGCAUUGCGGCAGCUGAGUAUUUAACCCCUUGGAAGGGAAGCGCUUGUCCUUUUCCCUCAGAGCGGAUUUUUGAUCUCUGGGUUCUACAUCUUGUGAUUUGUUUCUAAAGGAGGUGAAACCCUAAACAUCAUCUUACCAAUGGAUGCCUCUCUGAUCAAGAACGGUUGGCGUGCCUCCUGCCUUGGCACGGUAUACAUUCACAAACAAAGAUCCAUUUUAUUGAAGACUAACUAAGGGACCUAGCAUUGCUUCUUGCGUUAGAAGAACUUGGCAUCCAAUAGGAUGGUGAGCUUGGACUUGGAGCAUGAUCCUACAUGAUAAGAGCUAACUGGUGUCAGUCUUGAAGCUACGCAGAUGAGAAAGUACAUUUCAGUUCAAAGCAGAGUACCCCACUGUGUGUCCAGUCAAUCCAUGCAUUUGUUGCUGCACUAAAAUAAUAUGGCUUCAAUAUCUUUAGCAGAUGUAUGCGGUCACUGAAGAUGGUUGUGGGAAGAAUUAAUGAGAGAAGAGGUUGUACUCAUGGAAGCUAAACCCAAGUUGCCGACAUUAGGCUUGCAAUGUCCUGUUUGGGAUUUCUUCAAGGAUUUUCAUAUUUAAAAAAAAUUUUGAGCUUAAUAUGGUUUUUAGUUUUCAAGAUGCAAAUCUAAUAAACUUUAAAAAAAACAUUUGGCAAUAUGGGAAUAGACUAAUUGCGUAACUUGGUGAGGUAUGAUUUUGAACAUUUAAACUUAGUAUUAUUAGGAAAAAGGUGGGAGAAAAAUUAUAAAUUGUAACCGCUGGAAAAUUUAUUCCUCCAUUUAGUAUAGGCAAAGAUUAGCUAGGAACACACUACAUGUUGAUGUCUAGCUGCUGAAAUGGUGAUUGUUAUGAGUUUUCUGUGCUGUCUGGCCAUGUUUUCCUGAAUUUUCUCCUGACAUUUCACCCACAUCUAUAGCAGACAUCAGAUGUUUGGUUCCUCUGGUUUAUCCCUGAUUGUCCCUAUACUAUCCACGAAUCCUACUCAAGCUUCCUUCCGCAUAUACAGUAUCUAUGCCCAGGUUUUACAGUAAUUGUAGUUGACAUUAUAAUUCUAUCCUGAAUUUUAUUAGGUCCCUUUUAUUUGAGUAUUUUAAUCUGAUGCUAUUUUUAUAUUGCUGCUGCAGUUCCCCCAUCUGUGAAGUUGACUGAAUUGUACUUGGUGGUUGAUCGAUAUUACUACUUUUGUAUUGCCUUAUUGUGUUUUAUCUUUUGUAUAUUGUGUAAUGUAUUUAUGCUGUUGUUUUUGUAAACUAUGCUUUGCCCCAAGUCCCCGUGGGGAGAUGGUGGUGGGGUAUAACGUUUUUAUUUUGUUUUAUAUUUAUAUUGUCUAUAUUUAAUUCAUGGAUUGUUUUUUAAACCAAUGUUAUUGCUGGGCUUGUCCCCAUGUGAGCCGCCCCGUGUCCCUUCGGGGAAAUGGUGGCGGGCUAUAAGAAUAAAGUUAUUAUUGACACAAAGACUCUGCAAAUGAGCUAUAUAUGCUGGUGGUGGUUGUUAUUAUUGUGAGGUCUGUUGGAAACUAGGCAAGUGGGGUUUAUAUACCUGUGGAAUAAUGUCCAAGGUGGGACAGAGAAAGAACUUGUCUGUUUGAGGCAAAUGUGAAUGUUGCAAUUGGUCACCUUUCUUAGCAUUGAAUGGCUUUUCAGUUUCAAUGUAGACCAUGUUUGUAAAGGUUGAACUUCCCUUUUCUUGUCACAUCUUCCUCUUAAGCCUUGUGGCAAAGUCCACAAUGGAUACUUCUUGGAAACACCACACUUGCGGAAUUCAGUCCUGUUGUUGAAAUAAACUGCAAAUGUGAAAUGGUGAAA